rnacentral:tRNA from 1 species
GCCGGGGUAGCCUAGCCUGGUUUGGGCGCCAGACUCAUAAUCUGGAGGUCGCGAGUUCGAAUCACGCCCCCGGCACCA